rnacentral:rRNA from 1 species
AGAGUUUGAUCCUGGCUCAGAUUGAACGCUGGCGGCAGGCCUAACACAUGCAAGUCGAGCGGAUGAAGGGAGCUUGCUCCUGGAUUCAGCGGCGGACGGGUGAGUAAUGCCUAGGAAUCUGCCUGGUAGUGGGGGAUAACGUCCGGAAACGGGCGCUAAUACCGCAUACGUCCUGAGGGAGAAAGUGGGGGAUCUUCGGACCUCACGCUAUCAGAUGAGCCUAGGUCGGAUUAGCUAGUUGGUGGGGUAAAGGCCUACCAAGGCGACGAUCCGUAACUGGUCUGAGAGGAUGAUCAGUCACACUGGAACUGAGACACGGUCCAGACUCCUACGGGAGGCAGCAGUGGGGAAUAUUGGACAAUGGGCGAAAGCCUGAUCCAGCCAUGCCGCGUGUGUGAAGAAGGUCUUCGGAUUGUGAAGCACUUUAAGUUGGGAGGAAGGGCAGUAAGUUAAUACCUUGCUGUUUUGACGUUACCAACAGAAUAAGCACCGGCUAACUUCGUGCCAGCAGCCGCGGUAAUACGAAGGGUGCAAGCGUUAAUCGGAAUUACUGGGCGUAAAGCGCGCGUAGGUGGUUCAGCAAGUUGGAUGUGAAAUCCCCGGGCUCAACCUGGGAACUGCAUCCAAAACUACUGAGCUAGAGUACGGUAGAGGGUGGUGGAAUUUCCUGUGUAGCGGUGAAAUGCGUAGAUAUAGGAAGGAACACCAGUGGCGAAGGCGACCACCUGGACUGAUACUGACACUGAGGUGCGAAAGCGUGGGGAGCAAANNGGANUAGAUACCCCGGUA